rnacentral:rRNA from 1 species
GACGAACGCUGGCGGCGUGCUUAACACAUGCAAGUCGAACGAAGUGGCGCACGGGUGAGUAACGCGUAAUCAACCUGCCCUUCAGAGGGGGACAACAGUUGGAAACGACUGCUAAUACCGCAUACUGAAGGUGGGGAUUGCGUCUGAUUCGCUAGUUGGAGGGGGAACGGCCCAACAAGGCGAUGAUCAGUAGCCGGUCGUAGAGGAUGAACGGCCAAAUUGGGAAUGGGACACGGGCCAGAACCGUACGGGGGGCAGCAGUGGGGAAUCUUCCGCAAUGGAGGGAAGGCUGACGGAGCAACGGCGCGUUAGUGAUGACGGGCUUCGGGUUGGAAAGCUCUUUUAAUCGGGACGCGGUACCGGAAUAGAAAGCCACGGCUAACUACGUGCCAGCCGCCGCGGUAAUUC